CAGCAGUUGUGGUGCUGUACCUCCUGCGGCAGUGGCUGAGCCCGCCUCCCCGUGGCUUCCCCUGCUGGUGGCACCUGGCUCUUUGGUGGGGAAGGAGGAGUGACAGCUCUCUCCUCUAAGAUUAAGGACAACACGUGGCGUGUUAGGCCCUGGGCCUGGUCUCCUCAACCCAGGAAGGAAGCAGCCUGGGAGCUGGGGGCUUUGGCAGGGCCACCUCCUUUCUUUGGGCUGCCACUGAGGUAGGAGGCAGGUAUCAGGGGGAGCCCCGGGCAGCUUCAGAAGUCAGUGCUGGUCCAGGCUGGAGAGGAGAGGGCAGUCCCACACCUCCAGCCUGCUUCAUGCUGACCGCAAGAGCACAGAGGCGCUUCCCGGGAGCGCUCGGUCACAGCCUCCUGGACAGAGGGAGCUGCAGAGGGGAGCCCUCACUGAGAGAGCCCAAAGUUUUGACAGCCCUUUUAUUUCCGGGCCUUCCCAUUCCCAUGGCCACCUCAAGGGCAGAUGCUGUGCCCACGGUGUUUGCUGUUCCGACCGCACUCAGCACUGCCCGCCCGACACGUAAUGGAAAAUCAAUCAGUGUUGUCAAAUGACCUUUACAGCCAUCUAGUUGAGGUGAAAUCCCAUCAAACCAUUCCCUUCUCUGCAGUGUGAAAGCCAUGCAGUGUUAACAAUUAGGUUAACAAAGAAGCAAACAAAUAAAGCUUAUGCAAAGGAAAAAAAGGUGGAAGGAAAUAAUCAAAAUAUCAACUCUCUUUGGGAAUUGUGAGUAUGUUCAUUUCUCUGCUCUGCUUUUGUGAACUCUGUUUUUCCAACUUUCUUGUCAUAAAAACUUGCUAACUUUUAUUGUGAAAAGAUCCUUAGCCAACUUUGUUUAAAAAUGUGAAAUCCUUUGUAAGUCUGUCUGGAGCAGGGGCAGCUCUCUGCUGACUCUCCUCACUAUCUGGGUGAGGGGUGGCUGUGGAGGAGUCAUACGCUCAUAUGGGUGCCUCGCUCUAAUGGAGGUGUUCACUCAUUUUUUAACAGUUUAACCAAGUAACAAGGACAGGGAAGGCACUGGUGAGUCCUUCCAGAACAAUAACGUUGCGCAAUUCUUUAUGAACUACGCAAGCGUGCUUCCCCCGUGGAUCGAUUCUCUGGCGUCAUCUCUUUCUGGGUUGAUCUCCUCUCCCCUGGAUCUAAGCCCAUUUUCUGUUGCCAUAACCGAAUGCCACAGAGAGAGCAAUCAAUAAAGAAGGGGGUUUAUUCAGCGCCCAGUGCAGUCCUUGGCAUCUACAGGCCCUCAAAAGAUGUUUGAUGAAUGAAGAAACAAAAUCAAACACAAUUUCCGCUCUCGGUCACCUGCUAAUUAACGCAGGCAGCUGUGACACAGUGAAAAGACAGACCCGUGUGAGAAUGGAGUGAGCUGUGGCCUAGUGGCAGAGCACUGGCCUGGCACGCAUGAGGCCUGGGCUCAGCACUGCCCAAAAUAAACAAACAAACCAACAAACAAAGGAAAAUUAAUACAAGAUGGAAAAACAGAAAUUUACUCCAAGCAACUUUCAGAGACGUAAACUAACUUUCCAUAUUCUGGGUCUCCCAAUGUUUUACUUUGUUGUUCCUGUUAACAAUUGUCAUCUGAGAUUUUGCUGUUUGUAUCCUGCCUAUCAAAAAUUCUGUGGUUUUGUGGUAAGAACAAGAACCAGUUUCUAUGCAGCCAUGGUAAUCAUUGCUUGUGGAAAACAAAACAAAAUAAACAACUCUUUUCCUUGAGCUCAUAAAAGAAAAGACGUAGAGCCUGGAGAUGCCUGAUUUGGGUGUAACGUUCAUGCCAAAAGCUCCAGACAACCCGGUGGCCCAACAGCACGUUCAUUAUGCUCACAAGCUUUGGCAGGGAAUCAACCAUGUGCCAGUCACUAGUCUAAGCGCUGGCCUGGCUCUUCCCAGGGGACAGUGAGUGUCCACCACAGGGUUGCUGGAGUGGAGACUCUCGCCCUCGCCCAUCACCCUGGGGCGCCAGCCUGAGACGGGAGGGCUUUUCCCCUCAGGUGGAGGAGGCAGCUCGGUUCUUGCUCCUGUCUCUCGGACUGGCGAGAGACGCAGUCAUCGCAGGGCUUCACAGAAUCGAGGGAGCCAUGAAGUCACAGAGAGAGAGAAGAGGCUUUCGCGAUUAGAUGGGUGGAGGCAAAUAGGAAGGACGACCUGAGCCGUGGAAGUCGAACGCAGGAGGCACUGAGGCAAGAAAUACAUAAAGGAGAACAACAGAGGACGCCAGGAAAGGAACAGGCCUAAGGGGACCUGGGGAGGGCACAGGGGGUGGGGGCCGGGCCCAGCGAGGCCUGUGGGGGGCAGCCCCCGAGCAGUGUUCCUGGCUUGUGACCCUGGGGGCCCAGGCACGGGAGCCCGCAGGUGCAGAGCUCGCCUUGGCUCCUCGGGCCCUGGGCUUGUCUCUGCCUUGCUGUGGCCACUCUGGUCUUCUUCUUGAGGCUCCAGCUCCUCUAGGACGAGCCAUGACUUAGAAUGAAAAUUUUCAACUACUCGCCAUCCGGUGGCCCUUUUAUGACCAUUCAACUCAGAAAUGAGGGGAGGUCGUUCCUUCUGUCUGUUCAUUUAUUGCCUAAUGCAGCCUAUGAGACUUAAAACCCAGGAAGUUCUCCCCUUGGUCCACCUGGGUCACUGGGCGCAGGACAUCACCUGGCUCCUGGUUUGCUCUCCAGCCUCAUCUCCGGCUCCUUCCUUCGCCACUCACAUUGGGGUUCUUGUGUGUUCCAGCCCAACAGGCUCAGUUCUGCACUGGGCCUUGGCUCACUUGUCUCUCAGUAUGGGAUGCUGUUGGCAGAUAUUCAGAUGGCACUGUCAUUCAGGUCUCUGUUCAAAUGUCACCAUCUCCUAAGACUCUUCUCUGACAAACUGACUGAAGAACAGCUUCUGCUUCUGCCUUCAAGCCCACAGGCCGAUUCUUGUGCCCCCAAUUGCUAUCUCACUCUGUGCCUUCAUUCAUUCACUCACACGUGCAUGCCCUUGCCACUUGGAGCAGAUGCACGCGAUGCGUGUGUUGAGAGACAUUUCUUUGAGUCUCUCACAUUUCGUAUUCCUUGCAAAAACCGACACGGACUGUUGCAGAUUAUCUCUCCCAGCACAUUUGUAUCAUAAACACUCUGGAAGAUGGAGAUAAUGCCUCCCUUUAUAGCAAAGAGCAGGACAGCUUAUUAACCAUUAGAAAAGAUUCAGGCUCCCUGGGCGCACAGAUUCUCUCCUGUACCACAGCCUACUCCAUGGGCAACUGUCCUGCAGGUCCCAAGUUCAGAUUCCCACAGCUGAUUUCUAUUCAAGAAUGAAUCGACACUCUGUAUCUACAAAAAUGUGGCAGGCUACCUUUUACUUUGCAGGUAGGAGAGACGCUUUCUAAAGGUAAACACUUUCAAUGAGUCAACAGUCAAUUGUUUGUAGAGAUCCCUCCCCACACUAACACCUGGUCACUGUUGCCUCUGUGCUGCCCGGAACACAACAGACGGCUCGGCCCUUGGUGAAGUAUCUUUACACCUAAUGAGGACUCCUCAUCACCAAGGGAAAUUCUCCCACGUCUCCCACUCUGCAUGCAGAAGAAGGUCAUCCCCCUGACCUUGUCCAAGUCUCUGGGGUUUCGAUUUUAUUUGUAGAGGUUAUUUAUAGAGUGUUUUCUUUGUGCACAGGCAAGACUGAGAAUUUACAAGGUUGUUUUCGGUAACUCCCUGAUCCUCAGCUGUCUUGAGACUCUUUGAUUCAUAGGCAGUGGUGUGGCUAAGAUGAGUAGGUCAUUCAUGAGCCUGGGCUGCUGUCUUGCCAGACUGAACCAAGGCUGUUUUUAAAGAGAUACAAUAAUUUAUUCACACUAGUAAUAGAAACACACGCAGGAAAUGUUACCACCCCCCAAAUUCUUAUGUAAAUGAAUCUUUAUAGAUCAAUUUCCAUUUUCUCAUUCAGUUAUAUGUGUUAUUUUAGAUAUAAUAGUAUUUAUUCUCAUUGCUUAAUGGAAUACAACCAGAAGAGGUCACUGCCUCUUCUGUCAUUCUCCACAUGUUUGUUGAGCACCUAUUAUGCCCAAAGUGUAGUGUCAGGCUUGCAAUAAAGCAGAGCAACAGUGUACCCUAACUGAGUUAGAGCAUAACUUGUGCCUUUAGUAUUAAAAAAAUGUUUAGGUAUUGGUAUAAGCAAAGUGCUGGGGCGGUUUCAGAAAGCGGUGACUGGGAGUGAGUUCAGCCCCUGCAACAUCUAGCACAGGGCCUGAUGUGGUCUAAGCUCUAAAUAAGGGCUCAUGUCAUCAAACGCAGAAAGACAGCAUAUCUUGUUGGGAAUAAGUGUUAUUUCAUACACAUCUGGAAGAAGAAAAGCUGGGUUCAUGCAAAAUCUAUGGGCAGGAGUCAAGCAAUUUAGUAAAUACGUGUGGAAGUAGGUGAUGGAAUUCUCUGCCUUUGGGGCAUUUUUACCCACUUUUCAUGAUUUUGUUCUCAAUUCUGCUCAUUAUUAAAUUAUAUUAGUAAUUAUAUUAGUGACUAUUAAUAGUGAUUUUUAUGAAUUAGUAGUUUCUUUACAUUUUUAAGGAAGUUUAUAGCUACUUUAGGUAAAACUGUGAAGCAAGACGUUGUCAUCAGCUUCCCCUCCCCCCAGGUGAGACUUCUAUUUGGAAACAUAUGCAUCAAUAUAGAUCCUUUCUGUUUUUCAACCCUCUAAGAGCCAACUGCCUGCUAAUCCAUUGCUAUGUUGAUUGGUAAACAACCAAAAGUUAUAUAUCAGAGUCACUUUUCUCUGAAGUUGCAUAUUUAAAGAUGGCGGCAUGGAGUCAAGAUCAAGCUCAUAGUCUUCUCAAAGACUGUUCUCAAUGUCAACGCAGUGACUAAAGUCGUGGCGACUGUGAUCAUCAUGACGGGUUGGGGUCAAAAUAUACAGACUUCUACAUGCUGCCUCUUUUACACUGCCUUCUUUAGUGUCACAGCUGUAAAGGACCUGGAAAUAUUUUUUAAAAAACAACUAAGCAACCCAUCAAGCAAAUAUAAUUAUUUAAAGUCAUGAAUCACACUAGCAGCACCCAAGUAGGUGAGCUGAAAACUCAAGCCCCUUGAUGUGUAAGCCAGGGUUUGGGGCCAUUUCAAGAAUCAUUGUUUACCUAUUGCUAUAAGGUAACUUAAUUUCUAAUUCAGAACAGGCCUCAAGCUGAUAGUUUAUGAGUCUCAUUCUAUGAAGGAAAAAAAAUCUCGAGUAUUAAUUGUGAAUUAAUGAUAUAGUACAAUUUUCUCUCAAGUUACUUCAAAAAGAAGCAAUUUUCAUUACAGGGAGUAGAAAAACCAGCAGUUUCUAGUGAUUGCUCUAAGGCCCUCCAAAAUAUUGGUGAUGAGGUUAUUAGCCCUCUCCUGAGGUGUUUGCCCUAAGCCCCAGAGCUUCUCCAAUGGCCUCGUAGUUCAGUUUUAAACUAGCAAAUGAGCCUUGGCUUGAGAACAAACACAUGAACAGACCUAGACACCUGCUGUCAGGUAGGAGGAAGCCCAGGCUUCCCCACCCAGGAGCUUCCCCCUGGGGAAGGCUCAGGAGAGCAGGUUCCACCCAGAGCAGAGGGUUAGGAGACCACAUGUCUUGGGAGCUGCCACAGGUGGUUUUGCUCCUUGGAGCAGGUCAGGGUAAUAGCACAAUAAGCAAAUCAGAGCAAGGCUUUGGACUAAAGGCCCUGGAGGUGCACGGAUUUUCCGCCUGGCAUUUUUCUUGCUUUUCAAACAACAUAUUAAUGAUGCUGACCUUUUUAGUAAUUUGAUUCAACAAUGCCACAGCAGCAACAGUGCUCCAAGUCUGACAGGCUGAUGUGAGAAGCCAGGGAGGUAAUUACUGCUUUAAGUCAAAGAACUCUCUGUGCUUCUGCCACAGGAACAUUCCAUAUGGAGCAGACACUCCUCCCUCCUCCAGGCCCCACGACAGCCUUCGUCUUCCUGUGGGUUUGCUUCCCAGAGCUCAGGGAAACUGACCCUUGGCACCUCCAUGUGUAACCGGCGUGCUGGGGCCACCUCAGGUUUUCACGGAGUCCUAGGCUUGAAAGAACCCUUGCCAAUCGUCCCCUCUAACUUCCUUCUCCAAGUGGCCUUAGCCCUGAAAAGGGGACCAGCCUGCUUGGAUGCUUCUUCCUUGGGGAACACAGCCCCUGGCUCAAUGAGCGUGGGUCCCAGUCUUGACACCUGCCCUCUUAGCAGGGUGUUCAGGGUGACGGGGGGCAAGCAGACCUUAGACUCCUCAGCCUCAGCCUCCUGCCUCCAACUCUUCCUGUUCUCUCUUCCUCCUCUGAAUUAAAACUUUUUAUGAAAUAUCCAUCAAGUAUCCAACAGGUAGAUUCACAGUUAAAUAAAAGAUCCUGGGAAAGCAUGUUUUGGCCACAAGGCCACCAUGGUCAAGCCACAGUUGGAAUGGGAAAGAAAGAGGCAAGUUAAGAUGAUGUUUAGCUUAAAAAUGUAGCCAACCCCUUGGCAGUGGGCGGGUCCGUCUUCCCUCCUGGCCACCCCUUAUUCCUGUGCGCUGCAGUUUUCCUGAACCGCUUAGAUCAGGCUGGACCAUUUAGCUUUGGGCUUGUCACCAGAUUCACUUCCUGUCCCUCAAGUAUUUUAUCAUAGUUAGCUUUAAAACUGGAGGGUGAAGAAGCCCGCUUACUCACACUAAAACCCCGACCCCCAAGGUACUCAGCAAAGCACGAAGCACAAGAAAGAGGCCCAGCAACUUGAAGAAACUGCUUCCCUUGCAGAAGAGCUUCUCCUCAAGCAGGCUCUGGGGGGUGUGCUAACAGACGGACAGACAUCUUGCUGUCUCUAAUCAAAAACCUAAUUGAAGCAUCCAAAUACCCUUAUCAAUGCAGCCUCGCGUGGCUGCUAAGUGCCGAGUUAGCUCAGAACAUUCUGCUCCUAUCUCGGUGAUUCACAUCCUCACUCUGCCAAGAGGAGAGCUUUGAUGGCCUCGUUUCCCAGGCAAAGCAUUUACGAGAUCAUCAACAUCGGCAACAGGGGAGGAAUCAUGAUUUAUGACUUCUUAAAAAUGAAAGGAAGAAAGUUAAUGUUUCUCAAAUACAUAAUUAGAUUUAGGUUUCUCCAUGAGCAUUUCAAUGGAUACAAAAGAAAAAACGUGUAUCAAAAUUUCUUUAAAUUCCCUAUCAUUCAGUUUCUAAGUACUUAAUUUGCUUCAUUCAUUUUUUAUGUUUAAUUUUUAAUGUGCUUAUCAAAAUAAUAUGCUUGUAGUCUAAAAGUUCUACAAAGUUUGCAAUGAAAAACAGCAGUUCCACCUCUUCUCACUUUUGAUUUCCACUCCUAAUAUAUAACCAGUCAAUUCCUUUAGCUGUUUCUUAUAUUAUUACUCUCCAUCUGCUGGGUAAACAUUACACUGCUACUUCUUGAUUUUCCAAGUUUAGACCCUUGAUUUCCUAUAAUAGAAAUGAGGACUGAGCUCUGAUAUCCCUUCUCUUUUGCACAUUUACAAAUUCAUACCAAAUAUAUUUGUGUUAGUCAGCAUUCCGUUACUGUGACAAAAUGUCUGAAAUAAUAAACUUUAAAAGAGCAGAGGGUUUUUUUGGCUCCUGGUUUCAGAAGGUUUCAGUCCAUGGGCAGUUGCCUGCAUGGCUUUGGGGCCUGUGGCAAGUCAGUACCUUACGGUGGUAGCACAUGGCAGAGAAAACUGCUCUCCUCAUGGCAGCCAGAGGCCAAGUAAGAGACUGGGGUCCUGAUAUCUUUGUCCUUCCACUAGGCCCCACCUCCUAGAGGUUCCACCACGUCCCAGUGGCAUCCCAGGCUGGGGACAAAGCCUUCAACACAAGGGCUUCUGGAGGACAUUCAAGACCAAACUGUAGCAAUAUUUAUAUCAAAAGUGUCGACUCUGUCAUUAUUCAGGAAGUACAUUGUCAUGAUCAUAUCAAUAGACAUCAUGGCUGGGCCACAUGGGGUCACUGGCUUGUGUUUCUGGUCCACUGCUUUGAGGGUCAUUUGCUUGGUCUUCAGUGGUCUGUCAGUAGCUCACUUCCAAACUCUCUGCCAGUUCUGAAAGAGUCCCCCUGUGGUGGAGGAUGUCGUGAAGUCUGUACACUGUUUUCCCUUUUUCUUGCAGACAAGCCCUUGGAGCCUCCCCCACCCUCUGGCUGCUGUCCGCACGGGUUGCAGCGAGGCUGCCCCACAGCUGUAUGCUUGGGCCUUCUCUGAAACUGUCCUUGGCCUCUUCCUGUUUGACUCUUCUCCUUGAAUUCUAAAUUCCAGCUCCUCAUUUCCUAUUUAUUUCCCUCUUUGAUGGAAAAUUCUUUAAUAACUUUCUAAACAAGGAUACAGGGAGAUAAAUGUUCUGAGACUUUGCAUAUUUGAACGGUGGCUUAUGUGGAUAUCAAGUGUGGGUGGGAAUUUAAAUUUCUCGGUAUUUGAAAAGCAUCUGUCCCCUGUCUGUGGGUCUAGCUCCGCUGUCAACAGGUCCCGCACCAUUUGGAUUUCAAGCCAUUGUAGGUGUCCUGGUUGGGGGGGGUCUUGCUGAGGGCAUGUUUGCAGGGCUCUGAAACUCCCCAGGAUGCACUGUGACGCGAGGGUCUUCUCAUCCAUAAUGAAGGGCCCUGGGUGAAUCUUUCGGGUUUAGCUUCUGGAAGUUUUCUUACACCAUUUCUCUCUUCACACUCCCACCCUGUCCCCCCGACUUUCCCCGCCUGAAAUCCCUGGUUCUGCUAAUUCUUCAACCUAAUUUUCUUUUAGAGAAUAUCAGACACCAAAUCUUAGAUGAUUCUCUGAUUUUUCUGUCUUUUGCCUCCGGUUACCCACCUCAUUCUUCUUUUUAUUUUCUAAGAGAUUCCCUUAACUUUCUCUCCCAACUCGUUGCCUUCAUGCAUGAAUGUCCACCAUGUUUAGUUCUCCAGCGUAUUUUUCGUUCUCUCAGUGUUCCUUUUUUAUGGCACCCCAUUUUCGUACUAUGACUAUAAAGGGUUAAAUAAAUUAUUUAGUUAAAUAAAUUAAUUUUGGGUCUUCAAAGUUGCCAUUUCCUGCCAACCAGCAGAGUUAUCUAUUUUUUCGAAGUAAUUUCUUUUUUCUUUUUUGUCCAUUCCUUUUAUUGUGGUAAGAAUGUUUAACAUGAGAUCUACCCUUGCAAUAAAAUGUUCAGUGUACAAUAAAACAUUGGUACUUACAGACACAGCGUUGUAGAGCAG
rnacentral:lncRNA from 1 species